GACAGCAGAGCAGGAGAGGAAGGUGGGCGUGACUGAGUUUUGGAUUUCCCUUCUGCUGUGGCUCUGACAAGCCCAUGUGCUACUGCCAUCCCAGCAUACACAAGUGUGAGCUGGAGAAGAGAUGGUGGGGUCCCAUCCUCACCCUGCCUCAGGGCUGAGACAGUCUCCUCUGGGGAAGGAGUGCUUUUGGUCUGGGUCUGGGUAGCAGGAUGGGAUAUUUGCCUGUGACACAGAGGUAGCUCUAGGGCAGAGCAAAAUGCCACGUUCUUCUUUUGACGAAUGUUAAUUUUCAGCCUGGUUUCCAGCUGUCUGAACUGUUUUGUGGAAUCCUGACUGUUCUCCCCAGCUGUCCAUCACCAACUCUCAUGUUUUGAUGGCUCUUGUCACAAAUACCAUGCUAAAAAUAUCUUGGUUAUCUUCUCUUUUUUCCCCCUUUGAGACAUCUUACUGACUUUUUGCAGCUGUCCUGACUCUCUCCCCCUGUGAUUCCUGGGAAGCACUGUGGCAAUUAGAGCUGUCCACCCCCGGGAGGAGGUGUGCUCUGCUGGCACUAAAGACUUUGCUCCAAAGCUUCUCUGUUCUCCAUGUGCCAUAGAUUUGCCUGUUCUGCCAUUCCAAGUACACUCACGUCUGUGUCUACAACAAGGAUGCUUUUCGUGAAGCCUUUAUUCUUUUACUCUUCUUUGGAAAGUAUUGCCCCACAUUUUCUCUCUUUCUCCUUGUUUCCACUCAAAGGAGAGGUGUCGUCUUAACUGCCUGUCUUAGAGGUGAUGUGAAGGCAUCUGUCACUUAAGUAUUGAUGUGCCAAGCAAGGGCAGAGGAAAUCAGCUGUCUCUUUCUUGGAGCAUUAGUGCAUAAGGACUGAUAGUUGUAGUGCCAGUGGGAGACACCUCUUCUGAAGGGAUGGUGGGGGUUCAGAUCCCAGUGCUGCCAACCCUUGAUCAUGUCCUAGCUCUGUCACUCUGUGUCACAGCCGCCUUUCUCUGCAGGCUUUGCCUCCUGCCCUGGUGGGACUCUGGAGCUGUUGAAUUGUAGGACCCGAGUGGCUCUGGUGGGAAUAGAGCUGGUCAGGCAGAGCCGAGCUCCACCUAGUAAGGAAGGAAGCUUUUGUGCUCCAACUGAUGUUGCUGAAGCUGCUUUUGUUACCAUUGCAGAAGACCAACCUCAUGUGAGGGUUGAAUGGGACCUGGAGAUUUGCUGUAGGUACCAAGGAAAUGAGGUUCAGAAGACAGCGCCUAAUCCUAUGGUCAGCCUCGAUGCUGUUUCUUGGUUCACUUGUAGGAGGUAUUUUAUUUGAGGCCUGUGUAAGGUGGUACAAAGCAAUCCCAUGCAGCUGGCAGCUAGAGGCAAGGCUAUUUGUUCCAGGGCUUUGAAGACCUCUACUCCAGUGACAGCUGGCUCGCUGCUGCAGUGAUUGGUUUUCUCUUGCUUCAGAACAACUGAAACAAAUGUCCUUUUCAUUUCCUUUUACCUGUGGCAAGAGGUCUCCCGAUGGAGUUAAGGAAUGUCUUAAUCUUCUUUUCCUGGAAGGGACUGAGUGCUGCUUCCAGAGAGACGGGGUUUGGAAGCCUGGAGCGCUGAGCUGGCCGUGCUGAGAGACUUCUGGCAGCAGGGCUGGGCUGCAGAUGCUGCAGCGUGAUGGCCCAUCAGUCUGUGUUCUCAGAAAUGAGCCCACAGGAGCCCCUUGCUGGGGCUUCGCUGCAGAGCUCUGUCAAACCUUGACAGCACAAACACUUCCUAGAGCAUACUUAAAUCUGCCAGUUGAUGCCAUUAACACUCUGUGAGAGCCUUCCCGUGGUUGUACCUGUGAGCUUUAGUUUUCCCUUCAAAGAAUCGUCACCAAAAGCUCCUGUGUGUUUGUCACUUGCUGAAUGCCACCGGCGAAUCUUGACUUGGCAUGGUAUGUCACCAGGGGCUUCUCUGCCCACCAUUCCCUGGCAGCACCCCAUGUACAGAGAUAUACACAAGUGUUUCUACCAUGGCCUUGAUGACUGCCCUUCUUGGUGUGGUUGGAUUGCAGGAGACCAUGAAGGAAGAAGAAGUAGGUUUCUUACUACAUUUGCAGGACCAAAAAUAAAGGCUGCUAAAAAAGGUGACUUUUAUUUCUGUGGGAUUCUUGGUCCAUCACACAUCCUCAGGCACUUGUUUGUGCAAGGCAGAGCUCUUCAGGGCCCUUCUGCUGUACCCUGGCUUUCCUCUUUGGCACAAAGGGCUGGCAUUUUGGUCUCAGACAGUAGUUCAACAGAUGGCUCCUUAAAACCAAAAUCACCCAAGCCAGGUGACUUGUUCUUCUUUUCAGUGAGCCAAGGACAUUGAAGGUGCGUGCUGAGGUUAACUUCCAGAAGAAGAGCUGCAGGAUCAC